rnacentral:rRNA from 1 species
AUUGAACGCUGGCGGCAGGCCUAACACAUGCAAGUCGAACGAGUGGCGGACGGGUGCGUAAUGUCUGGGAAACUGCCUGAUGGAGGGGGAUCACUACUGGAAACGGUAGCUAAUACCGCAUACCAUCAGAUGUGCCCAGAUGGGAUUGGCUAGUUGGUGGGGUAACGGCUCAACAAGGCCACGAUCCCUAGCUGGUCUGAGAGGAUGACCAGCCACACGGGAACUGAGACACGGUCCAGACUCCUACGAGAGGCAGCAGUGGGGAAUAGUGCACUAUGGGCACAAGCCUGAUGCAGCCAUGCGGCGGGUAUGAAGAAGGCCUUCGGGUUGUAGAGUACUUUCAGCGGGGAGGCGUUACCCGCAGAAGAAGCACCGGCUAACUCCGUGCCAGCAGCCGCGGUAAUAC